rnacentral:rRNA from 1 species
GUGGGGUAGUGGCCUACCAAGGCGACGACGGGUAGCCGGCCUGAGAGGGUGACCGGCCACACUGGGACUGAGACACGGCCCAGACUCCUACGGGAGGCAGCAGUGGGGAAUAUUGCGCAAUGGGCGGAAGCCUGACGCAGCGACGCCGCGUGGGGGAUGACGGCCUUCGGGUUGUAAACCUCUUUCAGCAGGGACGAAGCGAGAGUGACGGUACCUGCAGAAGAAGCACCGGCCAACUACGUGCCAGCAGCCGCGGUAAUACGUAGGGUGCAAGCGUUGUCCGGAAUUAUUGGGCGUAAAGAGCUCGUAGGCGGUUUGUCGCGUCGGCUGUGAAAACCUGAGGCUCAACCUCAGGCCUGCAGUCGAUACGGGCAGACUUGAGUGUUGCAGGGGAGACUGGAAUUCCUGGUGUAGCUGUGAAAUGCGCAGAUAUCAGGAGGAACACCGGUGGCGAAGGCGGGUCUCUGGGCAACAACUGACGCUGAGGAGCGAAAGCGUGGGGAGCGAACAGGAUUAGAUACCCUGGUAGUCCACGCCGUAAACGUUGGGCGCUAGGUGUGGGGCUCAUUCCACGAGUUCCGUGCCGCAGCUAACGCAUUAAGCG